GAUGAACGCUGGCGGCGUGCCUAAUACAUGCAAGUCGAGCGAACAGACGAGGAGCUUGCUCCUCUGACGUUAGCGGCGGACGGGUGAGUAACACGUGGAUAACCUACCUAUAAGACUGGGAUAACUUCGGGAAACCGGAGCUAAUACCGGAUAAUAUAUUGAACCGCAUGGUUCAAUAGUGAAAGACGGUUUUGCUGUCACUUAUAGAUGGAUCCGCGCCGCAUUAGCUAGUUGGUAAGGUAACGGCUUACCAAGGCUACGAUGCGUAGCCGACGUGAGAGGGUGAUCGGCCACACUGGAACUGAGACACGGUCCAGACGCCUACGGGAGGCAGCAGUAGGGAAUCUUCGGCAAUGGGCGAAAGCUUGGCGGAGCAACGCCGCGUGAGUGAUGAAGGUCUUCGGAGCGUAAAGCUCUGUUAUUGGGGAAGAACAGAUGUGGAAGUAACUAUGCACGUCUUGACGGUACCUAAUCAGAAAGCCACGGCUAACUACGUG
rnacentral:rRNA from 1 species